GUAGGUGGCAAGCGUUGUCCGGAUUUAUUGGGCGUAAAGAGCGCGCAGGCGGUUUGUUAAGUCCGAGGUGAAAUCUCCCGGCUCAACUGGGAGGGGUCUUCGGAUACUGGCCGACUUGAGGAGAGCAGAGGUGAGUGGAAUUCUCGGUGUAGUGGUGAAAUGCGUAGAUAUCGAGAGGAACACCAGCGGCGAAGGCGGCUCACUGGGCUCCACCUGACGCUGAGGCGCGAAAGCGUGGGGAGCGAACCGGAUUAGAUACCCGGGUAGUCCACGCUGUAAACGAUGGGCACUAGGUGUGAGGGGUAUUGACCCCCUUUGUGCCGAAGCUAACGCAAUAAGUGCCCCGCCUGGGGAGUACGGCCGCAAGGCUA
rnacentral:rRNA from 1 species